rnacentral:rRNA from 1 species
AACGAACGCUGGCGGCAUGCCUAACACAUGCAAGUCGAACGAGACCUUCGGGUCUAGUGGCGCACGGGUGCGUAACGCGUGGGAACCUGCCCUUAGGUUCUGAAUAACUCCCCGAAAGGGGUGCUAAUACCGGAUAAUGUCUUCGGACCAAAGAUUUAUCGCCUUUGGAUGGGCCCGCGUUGGAUUUGCUAGUUGGUAUGGUAAAAGCCUACCAAGGCGACGAUCCAUAGCUGGUCUGAGAGGAUGAUCAGCCACACUGGGAAUGAGACACGGCCCAGACUCCUACGGGAGGAAGCAGUGGGGAAUAAUGGACAAUGGGCGAAAGCCUGAUCCAGCAAUGCCGCGUGAGUGAUGAAGGCCUUAGGGUUGUAAAGCUCUUUUACCCGGGAUGAUAAUGACAGUACCGGGAGAAUAAGCUCCGGCUAACUCCGUG